UACAGAGGGGGCAAGCGUUAUUCGGAAUUAUUGGGCGUAAAGGGCGCGUAGGCGGCCUGGCAAGUGGAUGGUGAAAUCCCUCGGCUUAACCGAGGAACUGCCAUCCAGACUGCUUGGCUUGAGACCGGGAGAGGUGAGUGGAAUUCCCAGUGUAGCGGUGAAAUGCGUAGAUAUUGGGAGGAACACCAGUGGCGAAGGCGGCUCACUGGACCGGUACUGACGCUGAGGCGCGGAAAGCGUGGGGAGCAAACGGGG
rnacentral:rRNA from 1 species